rfam:Bacteroidetes bacterium 38_7 MPI_scaffold_1007, whole genome shotgun sequence.
AUGACAGCCUGUUCUAUCGCUCUGGGUUUCAAUAUCCAGGGAGGAAAGUCGGGACAACACAGAGUAGCCUGCUUCCUAACAGGAAGGUAUCGCGAUGAGCGGUAACAGAAAGUGCCACAGAAAAUAACCGUCGAAUACUGGUUCGACCAGUAAACGAUAAGGGUGAAAACGUGAGGUAAGAGCUCACGCCUUAAGGUGGUGACAUCUUGAGGGGGUAAACCUCAGGCGUUGAAAGGCCAAAUAAACCAGGGAUGCUUUGUCAUAAAAGUGAGAGGGUUACUCGCCCAAUCCUGGAGGGUAGGCCGAUAGAGAUAACAGGUGACUGUUAUCCCAGAUAAAUGAUAGAAAUCCUUUUCUAAGGAUACAGAAUCCCGCUUAUAGGGCUGCCAUCUUU